rnacentral:rRNA from 1 species
UACGUAGGGAGCAAGCGUUGUCCGGAAUCAUUGGGCGUAAAGCGCGUGUAGGCGGCUUUGCAAGUCGGGGUGUGAAAGCCCUCAGCUCAACUGAGGAAGUGCGCCCGAAACUGCAGAGCUUGAGUGCCGGAGAGGGUGGCGGAAUUCCCCAAGUAGAGGUGAAAUUCGUAGAUAUCUGGAGGAACACCGGUGGCGAAGGCGGCAUCCUGGACCGGGCAUUGACGCUGAGGCGCGAAAGCCAGGGGAG